GCGGCCAUGGCGGAACAGGCAGACGCGUACGUUUGAGGGGCGUAUGGGAGACCAUCCGGGUUCAAGUCCCGGUAACCGCACCA
rnacentral:tRNA from 1 species